rnacentral:rRNA from 1 species
GACGAACGCUGGCGGCGUGCCUAAUACAUGCAAGUUGAGCGCUGAAGGUUGGUACUUGUACCAACUGGAUGAGCAGCGAACGGGUGAGUAACGCGUGGGGAAUCUGCCUUUGAGCGGGGGACAACAUUUGGAAACGAAUGCUAAUACCGCAUAAAAACUUUAAACACAAGUUUUAAGUUUGAAAGAUGCAAUUGCAUCACUCAAAGAUGAUCCCGCGUUGUAUUAGCUAGUUGGUGAGGUAAAGGCUCACCAAGGCGAUGAUACAUAGCCGACCUGAGAGGGUGAUCGGCCACAUUGGGAAUGAGACACGGCCCAAACUCCUACGGGAGGCAGCAGUAGGGGAUCUUCGGCAAUGGACGAAAGUCUGACCGAGCAAAGCCGCGUGAGUGAAGAAGGUUUUCGGAUCGUAAAACUCUGUUGGUAGAGAAGAACGUUGGUGAGAGUGGAAAGCUCAUCAAGUGACGGUAACUACCCAGAAAGGGACGGCUAACUACGUG